CGCACCGACACAGCCCGCCGCGGACCCGCCGCCUCGCCCGCUCCCAGGUCGUGCCCUCCUCUGCCUGCUCCGAAAGCUUGUGCCGGGCUACCGGGGCUUCGGCAGCCCUCACCGCGCUGUUGGGGUGGUGUGUGGGGAAAGUGCUGGGAGAGGAGACCACGUGAACGAAAAGUCCUCUAAAUCCAGAGGAAACAAAAUGGGCUCAUCCGCUCCGUGAGGAAGUGCGAGGUUUUAGAGGGGAGCCUUCAAAUUACCUGUACAAAAAAGCCCUUGAAACAAGGCUGUCUUUAGACACAGCUGUAAAGUAUCCGGCACUAUUUACAGUACUGAAUAAAUGUAAAAACAACAAUAAACAGCGCUGAAUUAA